GAUGAACGCUGGCGGCGUGCUUAACACAUGCAAGUCGAACGAAGCACCUUGAUUUGAUUCUUCGGAUGAAGAUCUUGGUGACUGAGUGGCGGACGGGUGAGUAACGCGUGGGUAACCUGCCUCAUACAGGGGGAUAACAGUUAGAAAUGACUGCUAAUACCGCAUAAGACCACAGCACCGCAUGGUGCAGGGGUAAAAACUCCGGUGGUAUGAGAUGGACCCGCGUCUGAUUAGGUAGUUGGUGGGGUAACGGCCUACCAAGCCGACGAUCAGUAGCCGACCUGAGAGGGUGACCGGCCACAUUGGGACUGAGACACGGCCCAAACUCCUACGGGAGGCAGCAGUGGGGAAUAUUGCACAAUGGGGGAAACCCUGAUGCAGCGACGCCGCGUGAGCGAUGAAGUAUUUCGGUAUGUAAAACUCUAUCAGCAGGGAAGAAAAUGACGGUACCUGACUAAGAAGCACCGGCUAAAUACGUGCCAGCAGCCGCGGUAAUACGUAUGGUGCAAGCGUUAUCCGGAUUUACUGGGUGUAAAGGGAGCGUAGACGGAGUGGCAAGUCUGAUGUGAAAACCCGGGGCUCAACCCCGGGACUGCAUUGGAAACUGUCAAUCUGGAGUACCGGAGAGGUAAGCGGAAUUCCUAGUGUAGCGGUGAAAUGCGUAGAUAUUAGGAGGAACACCAGUGGCGAAGGCGGCUUACUGGACGGUAACUGACGUUGAGGCUCGAAAGCGUGGGGAGCAAACAGGAUUAGAUACCCUGGUAGUCCACGCCGUAAACGA
rnacentral:rRNA from 1 species